UACAGAGGUCUCAAGCGUUGUUCGGAUUCAUUGGGCGUAAAGGGUGCGUAGGUGGCGCGCUAAGUCAGGUGUGAAAUUUCGGAGCUUAACUCCGAAACUGCAUUUGAUACUGGUGUGCUUGAGUACUGGAGAGGAAACUUGGAAUUACGGUGUAGCAGAUGAAAUGCGUAGAGAUCGUAAGGAAGACCAGUGGCGAAGGCGAGUUUCUGGACAGUUACUGACGCUGAGGCACGAAGGCCAGGGGAGCAAACGGG
rnacentral:rRNA from 1 species